UAGGGAAUCUUCGGCAAUGGGGGCAACCCUGACCGAGCAACGCCGCGUGAGUGAAGAAGGUUUUCGGAUCGUAAAGCUCUGUUGUAAGAGAAGAACGUGUGUGAGAGUGGAAAGUUCACACAGUGACGGUAACUUACCAGAAAGGGACGGCUAACUACGUGCCAGCAGCCGCGGUAAUACGUAGGUCCCGAGCGUUGUCCGGAUUUAUUGGGCGUAAAGCGAGCGCAGGCGGUUUAUUAAGUCUGAAGUUAAAGGCAGUGGCUUAACCAUUGUUCGCUUUGGAAACUGUUAAACUUGAGUGCAGAAGGGGAGAGUGGAAUUCCAUGUGUAGCGGAGAAAUGCGUAGAUAUAUGGAGGAACACCGGUGGCGAAAGCGGCUCUCUGGUCUGUAACUGACGCUGAGGCUCGAAAGCGUGGGGAGCAAACAGG
rnacentral:rRNA from 1 species